GACGAACGCUGGCGGUGUGCUUAACACAUUCAAGUCGAACGGUAAGGCCCUUUCGGGGGUACACGAGUGGCGAACGGGUGAGUAACACGUGAGUAACCUGCCCUCAUCUCUGGGAUAACAGUCGGAAACGGUUGCUAAUACUGGAUAUGAGCUUGCAAGGCAUCUUGUGGGUUGGAAAGAUUUUUUUUGGUUGGGGAUGGACUCGCGGCCUAUCAGCUUGUUGGUGAGGUAGUGGCUCACCAAGGCUUCGACGGGUAGCCGGCCUGAGAGGGCGACCGGCCACAUUGGGACUGAGAUACGGCCCAAACUCCUACGGGAGGCAGCAGUGGGGAAUAUUGCACAAUGGACGGAAGUCUGAUGCAGCAACGCCGCGUGCGGGAUGACGGCCUUCGGGUUGUAAACCGCUUUCAAUUGUGACGAAGCUUUUUUGUGACGGUAGCAGUAGAAGAAGCACCGGCUAACUACGUG
rnacentral:rRNA from 1 species